UACGUAGGGUGCGAGCGUUGUCCGGAAUUAUUGGGCGUAAAGAGCUCGUAGGCGGUGUGUCACGUCGGCCGUGAAAACCUGCAGCUUAACUGUGGGCGUGCGGUCGAUACGGGUAUCACUGGAGUUCGGCAGGGGAGACUGGAAUUCCUGGUGUAGCGGUGAAAUGCGCAGAUAUCAGGAGGAACACCGGUGGCGAAGGCGGGUCUCUGGGCCGAUACUGACGCUGGAGGAGCGAAAGCGUGGGGAGCAAACAGG
rnacentral:rRNA from 1 species